CCAUGUCAUCGACGCGUAGGGCACGCGCGUCAGCCGUUCUCCACUCUACACGCCAAGAUCGUUCGCAGGCUCCGCAGGCGCUGUCAUGUGGGCCUAGGGGAUCGAAGCCAUAUUCCUCCCGGACCACGCGACUGUGGUGGUUGGGGAUUAGUUGAACCCCGCAAAUCAUACGGAGGCGCCCGGGAUUUCACCUGGGUAUAUAAGCAUGUCAUGCGCCCCUCUUUCGAUUCAAGUUGAGGGAACCGACCGCCGUGGGAUGUCGAGGUGCUCUGGUCGAGAGAAGUGGGGGGUCGGAGAUGUGAGCAGAGAUCCGCCGUGCGCUAGAACCGGUCACGCCGUCGUCAAACCCUCGGGAAUUUCUCCCCGGAAUCAAGCCGCCACCGCAGUACCGCGCGUGGCCAUGGUCAGAAUUCAGUGUUGUGCCGUAGCUGCAGCGAGGUUACGAGUCACUUGAAGACCAAGUUGGUACCUGGGAAUCUCGAGUCUAAGGCAAGUUGUGCUCUUGAUCACUUUUCUUUACCUAAUAAUGUUCCUGUUAAUCACUAUGACAUGAUCAGGUUAAUUUGAUGGGACCCAAUAGAUUUUCCUAGCAUUAUUUAUCCCCUACCUUGCAAAUAGAAGCACUAUUGGGUAGUUUUGCUAUUGUUCUACCUGGUUUUGGGAAAUUAAUGUUAUAUUAUGAUUAUGUUCUAGUUAUAUUGUUGUUUUAAUUAUUGUUCAUGACAAGAUCAUUGUGUUAAUUGGAACAUGGAGCGACCACCUGGGAAAACUAGUGCUACCACAAGGGUAUGGGACGCCCUUGUCUGACUAAUUAGAAAAGCUAGUAGAAGACUAACUUACCCGAAAGAGGCAAGGGCGGUAGAGGAGCAUGCGUAUAGGGAGGUUCUCGGGUCGAUCAUGCUGCGAUGGCUUUUCAGACGAGGGAUUCCUAUAUUGUUCUUCUCAGAAACCGUAGCUGGUUUUCGGAAGACAGUGGAACUUUGUAAAGGCCUCGUAGUGUUACCCUGCCUCGUCUCCUAGGCAAAGAUGAAUGGGAAGUUGCGAUCUCUUGGCAAAUGGGUAACACGACUUGUGGGUAAAGACGUGCAACCUCUACAGAGUGUAAAACUGGUAUAUCAGUCGUGCUCAUGGUCAUGAGCAGCUCGGACCCUCACAUGAGUAAUUUAUGAAACUAAAUUUAAUUUGUUAUAUGCAUUGCAUUGUGGGUGUUAUUAUUAAUCUUGAUCUCUUAUUUAUAUCUAUUUAUACUUAGUAACUGCUAAUAAAUUUUUGACCAACUAUAAAAGCAAUGCUCAUCUUUAACCAUCUCCUUUGGUAAGCCUUACACUUCACAUGAGCUCCCACCUUUGGUGAGUUUAUGCACAUUGUUCCCCACAUCUUGUUGAGCGAUGAACAUAUGUGAGCUCACCCUUGCUGUACUCACAUCCCCCAGGUCAAGGACAGGUACCACAGGAUGAGGCGCAUGAAGGAUGAUAUGAUGAGUUCGUGAGUGGUCUAGGCUGUCGUCUCCCAGUCAACUAUGGUUGUUGGAUCGUUGUCUUCGUAUGAUGUAAUUAUUUAACUAUUUUGUACAUAGCUUCGUUAUAUACAAAUGAUGUGACAUUCGUUUAUGUACCAUGAGUCAUCAUAUGUGUGAUACUUGAUCCUAGCACACUUGGUAAAGUUCGCGCUCGGGUUUUGGACCCCCUAAAAUCCGGGUGUAACAACUUACGUAUAGGAAUUGUUUGGAACCCUAGAUGCAUGAACUUAGGUUCCUUUUUUAGAUGGAUACUAGUAUGCUAGGUCGAGUAGUUGCGCUGCUAAAUAAGGAUCUCUGUAGAAGUCGAGUGAUUUUUCUAGCACUCGCGCGAGGUUAGGAAUUGAUUGUAUCCAACUUUUGAUAACAGGAUUAUGAUUAUUUUUGGACA